CGCUGGCGGCGUGCUUAACACAUGCAAGUCGAACGGUAAGGCCCCUUCGGGGGUACACGAGUGGCGAACGGGUGAGUAACACGUGGGUAAUCUGCCCUGCACUUCGGGAUAAGCCUGGGAAACUGGGUCUAAUACCGGAUAUGAACUCCUGCCGCAUGGUGGGGGUUGGAAAGUUUUUCGGUGCAGGAUGAGCCCGCGGCCUAUCAGCUUGUUGGUGGGGUAAUGGCCUACCAAGGCGACGACGGGUAGCCGGCCUGAGAGGGUGAUCGGCCACACUGGGACUGAGACACGGCCCAGACUCCUACGGGAGGCAGCAGUGGGGAAUAUUGCACAAUGGGCGAAAGCCUGAUGCAGCGACGCCGCGUGGGGGAUGACGGUCUUCGGAUUGUAAACCCCUUUCAGUAGGGACGAAGCGCAAGUGACGGUACCUGCA
rnacentral:rRNA from 2 species